rnacentral:rRNA from 1 species
UAGUUAUGUUCUUUAAACCUAAAGAAUUUGGCGGUGUUUUAAGUCUAUUCAGAGGAAUUUGUCCCGUAAUCGAUAAUCCCCGUUAUAUCUAACUUAUUUUUGUUUAAUUUCAGUUUGUAUACCGCCGUUAUAAAGUUUAUUUUUUAAGAAUUUUAAUUUACUUUAAAUUUUAUUAGAUAAAAUUUCAGGUCAAGGUGCAGUUUAUAUUUAAGUGGAGAUGAAUUACAAUAUUAUUUUUGAAUAUUAUGAAUUUAAAAUUGCAAUAAUUGAUAUUUUAUUGAAGGUGGAUUUGAUAGUAAUUUUAUUUAGUUUAUUUUUUUGAUUUUAGUUCUAAAAUAAGUACACAUCGCCCGAUCGCUCUA